GAUGAACGCUGGCGGCGUGCCUAAUACAUGCAAGUCGAGCGAACAGACGAGGAGCUUGCUCCUCUGACGUUAGCGGCGGACGGGUGAGUAACACGUGGAUAACCUACCUAUAAGACUGGGAUAACUUCGGGAAACCGGAGCUAAUACCGGAUAAUAUAUUGAACCGCAUGGUUCAAUAGUGAAAGACGGUUUUGCUGUCACUUAUAGAUGGAUCCGCGCCGCAUUAGCUAGUUGGUAAGGUAACGGCUUACCAAGGCGACGAUGCGUAGCCGACCUGAGAGGGUGAUCGGCCACACUGGAGCUGAGACACGGUCCAGACUCCUACGGGAGGCAGCAGUAGGGAAUCUUCCGCAAUGGGCGAAAGCCUGACGGAGCAACGCCGCGUGAGUGAUGAAGGUCUUCGGAUCGUAAAACUCUGUUAUUAGGGAAGAACAAAUGUGUAAGUAACUAUGCACGUAUUGACGGUACCUAAUCAGAAAGCCACGGCUAACUACGUG
rnacentral:rRNA from 1 species